rnacentral:rRNA from 1 species
CCUANGGGGGGCUGCAGUCGAGAAUCUUUCGCAAUGCCCGAAAGGGUGACGAAGCGACGCCGCGUGUGGGAAGAAGGCCUUCGGGUUGUAAACCACUGUCGGGAGUUAAGAAAUGUAAGGGUGUUAAUAGCGCCCUUGCUUGACUAAGGCUCCGGAGGAAGCUACGGCUAACUCUGUGCCAGCAGCCGCGGUAAUACAGAGGUGGCAAGCGUUGUUCGGAAUUAUUGGGCGUAAAGAGCACGUAGGCGGCCUUGAAAGUCAGUUGUGAAAUCCUUCCGCUUAACGGAAGAACUGCAUCUGAUACUGUUAGUCUUGAGUACGGUCAAGGUAGGCGGAAUGUGUAAUGUAGCGGUGAAAUGCUUAGAUAUUACACAGAACACCGAUUGCGAAGGCAGCUUACUGGGCCAUUACUGACGCUGAUGCACGAAAGCGUGGGGAGCGAACAGGAUUAGAUACCCCUNUANUC